rnacentral:rRNA from 1 species
UGGAUCCAGACUUUGAUUCUGGCUCAGGAUGAACGCUAGCUACAGGCUUAACACAUGCAAGUCGAGGGGCAGCAUGGUUUCAGCUUGCUGAGACUGAUGGCGACCGGCGCACGGGUGAGUAACGCGUAUCCAACCUGCCCUUUACUCCGGGAUAGUCUCCUGAAAGGGAGUUUAAUACCGGAUGUGUUUGUCUUUCCGCAUGGGAGCGACAAAUAAAGAUUAAUUGGUAAAGGAUGGGGAUGCGUCCCAUUAGCUAGUUGGCGGGGUAACGGCCCACCAAGGCGACGAUGGGUAGGGGUUCUGAGAGGAAGGUCCCCCACAUUGGAACUGAGACACGGUCCAAACUCCUACGGGAGGCAGCAGUGAGGAAUAUUGGUCAAUGGGCGGGGGCCUGAACCAGCCAAGUAGCGUGAAGGACGACGGCCCUACGGGUUGUAAACUUCUUUUAUAAGGGAAUAAAGUGCGUUACGUGUAAUGUUUUGUAUGUACCUUAUGAAUAAGCAUCGGCUAAUUCCGUGCCAGCAGCCGCGGUAAUACGGAAGAUGCGAGCGUUAUCCGGAUUUAUUGGGUUUAAAGGGAGCGUAGGCGGGCUUUUAAGUCAGCGGUCAAAUGUCACGGCUCAACCGUGGCCAGCCGUUGAAACUGCAAGCCUUGAGUCUGCACAGGGCACAUGGAAUUCGUGGUGUAGCGGUGAAAUGCUUAGAUAUCACGAAGAACUCCGAUCGCGAAGGCAUUGUGCCGGGGCAGCACUGACGCUGAGGCUCGAAUGUGCGGGUAUCAAACAGGAUUAGAUACCCUGGUAGUCCGCACGGUAAACGAUGAAUGCUCGCUAUGGGCGAUACAAUGUCCGUGGCCAAGCGAAAGCGUUAAGCAUUCCACCUGGGGAGUACGCCGGCAACGGUGCAACUCAAAGGAAUUGACGGA